CGCGCAGGCGGCUAUCCAAGUCAGUGGUGAAAGCCCGGAGCUCAACUCCGGAACUGCCAUUGAAACUGUUUAGCUGGAGUAUGAGAGAGGUGAGUGGAAUUCCCAGUGUAGAGGUGAAAUUCGUAGAUAUUGGGAAGAACACCGGUGGCGAAGGCGGCUCACUGGCUCAUUACUGACGCUCAUGCGCGACAGCGUGGGGAUCAAACAGGAUUAGAUACCCUGGUAGUCCACGCCGUAAACGAUGAAUGCUAGCCGUUGGGCAGCUUGCUGUUCAGUGGCGCAGCUAACGCAUUAAGCAUUCCGCCUGGGGAGUACGGCCGCAAGGUUGAA
rnacentral:rRNA from 1 species